rnacentral:rRNA from 1 species
GAGUAAUGCUUGGGAAUAUGCCUUAUGGUGGGGGACAACAGUUGGAAACGACUGCUAAUACCGCAUGAUGUCUACGGACCAAAGUGGGGGACCCUCGGGCCUCACGCCAUAAGAUUAGCCCAAGUGGGACUAGCUAGUUGGUGAGGUAAUGGCUCACCAAGGCGACGAUCCCUAGCUGGUUUGAGAGGAUGAUCAGCCACACUGGGACUGAGACACGGCCCAGACUCCUACGGGAGGCAGCAGUGGGGAAUAUUGCACAAUGGGCGCAAGCCUGAUGCAGCCAUGCCGCGUGUGUGAAGAAGGCCUUCGGGUUGUAAAGCACUUUCAGUAAGGAGGAAAGGUUAAGUGUUAAUAGCGCUUAGCUGUGACGUUACUUACAGAAGAAGCACCGGCUAACUCCGUGCCAGCAGCCGCGGUAAUACGGAGGGUGCGAGCGUUAAUCGGAAUUACUGGGCGUAGAGCGUACGCAGGCGGUUUGUUAAGCGAGAUGUGAAAGCCCCGGGCUCAACCUGGGAACUGCAUUUCGAACUGGCAAACUAGAGUGUGAUAGAGGGUGGUAGAAUUUCAGGUGUAGCGGUGAAAUGCGUA